rnacentral:rRNA from 1 species
UAAUACGAAGGGACCUAGCGUAGUUCGGAAUUACUGGGCUUAAAGAGCACGUAGGUGGUUAAAAAAGUUGGUGGUGAAAUCCCAGAGCUUAACUCUGGAACUGCCAUCAAAACUUUUUAGCUAGAGUGUGAUAGAGGAAAGUAGAAUUUCUAGUGUAGAGGUGAAAUUCGUAGAUAUUAGAAAGAAUACCAAUUGCGAAGGCAGCUUUCUGGAUCAUUACUGACACUGAGGUGCGAAAGCAUGGGUAGCGAAGAGGAUUAGAUACCCUCGUAGUCCAUGCCGUAAACGAUGUGUGCUAGACGUUGGAAAUUUAUUUUCAGUGUCGCAGCGAAAGCGUUAAGCACACCGCCUGGGGAGUACGACCGCAAGGUUA